ACUCCUACGGGAGGCAGCAGUAGGGAAUCUUGCGCAAUGGGCGAAAGCCUGACGCAGCGACGCCGCGUGCGGGAUGACGGCCCUAGUGGUUGUAAACCGCUUUCAGCAGGGACGAAAAUGACGGUACCUGCAGAAGAAGUCCCGGCUAACUACGUGCCAGCAGCCGCGGUAAUACGUAGGGGACAAGCGUUGUCCGGAUUCAUUGGGCGUAAAGAGCUCGUAGGCGGUUCAGUAAGUUGGGUGUGAAAGCUCCGGGCUCAACCCGGAGAGGCCACUCAAUACUGCUGUGACUAGAGUCCAGUAGAGGAGCGUGGAACUCCUGGUGUAGCGGUGAAAUGCGCAGAUAUCAGGAAGAACACCGGCAGCGAAGGCGGCGCUCUGGGCUGGUACUGACGCUGAGGAGCGAAAGCAUGGGUAGCAAACAGGAUUAGAUACCCUGGUAGCUACGAGU
rnacentral:rRNA from 1 species